GUCUGUACAUAUAUAGAUUUGGGUUUGUGACGAAAACCAGUCUGUCUGUUGUGUCGCUGCCAAGACUUAAAGAUGAAGGUCGCUGUUCUAUUUUGCUUCACUGCCUCUUUGGCUGUUACAGCUGCUUUACCUGCAGUUGCUCCAGCUGCGCCGAUGGUCCCCUCUCCUGCCAUGAUCAGGCCUUC
rnacentral:lncRNA from 1 species